GGCUUAAUUUGACUCAACGCGGGAAAACUCACCCGGCCCGGACACCGUAAGGAUUGACAGAUUGAGAGCUCUUUCUUGAUUCGGUGGGUGGUGGUGCAUGGCCGUUCUUAGUUGGUGGAUUGAUUUGUCUGGUUUAUUCCGAUAACGAACGAGACUCCAACCUACUAACUAGUGGGCGAAUCUUUACGUUCGCAACACUUCUUAGAGGGACAAGCGGUGUUUAGCCGCAUGAGAAGGAGCAAUAACAGGUCUGUGAUGCCC
rnacentral:rRNA from 1 species